rnacentral:rRNA from 1 species
CGCGGUUAAACCAAGAGAUUAAGUUAUAUUUUUAGGUAAAAAGACAGUUAGGUUUUGGUUAUUUAGUUUGUGAAUCUCCUAUAGAAAGGUAAAAUUUGAAUAUAGGGAGCUAAUUUAAAUAUAACUUUGAUUACUGAAGCUGUGAUAAUCUUGAGGGAAACUGGGAUUAGAUACCCCAUUAUUCUUGAUUGUAAAUUUAAUUAAAUUUACCAGAGUACUAUGAAUAUAAAAAAUUUAAAACUCAAAGGGCUUGGCGGUGUUUUAGACCUAUCAGGGGAACCUGUUUCGUAAUCGAUAGUCCACGUUAGACCUGACCUUAUUUUGUAUUUCAGUUUGUAUACCGUCGUCGUCAGGUAACUUUUAAAAAUUUAGAAGUUAGCAAAAAAAUUUUAAAUUAAAACGUCAGAUCAAGGUGCAGCUAAUAGUAAGGAGAGAAUGGGUUACAAUUAUUUGAAUUUAUAACUACGAAAAAUUUCAUGAAACUGUAAUUAGAAGGAGGACUUGAAAGUAAAAUAUAGUAUAUAAAUGAUUUGAAUACGGCUCUG